AUUGAACGCUGGCGGCAGGCUUAACACAUGCAAGUCGAGCGAGUGGCGGACGGGUGAGUAAUGUCUGGGAAACUGCCUGAUGGCGGGGGAUAACUACUGGAAACGGUAGCUAAUACCGCAUACCAUCAGAUGUGCCCAUAUGGGAUUAGCUAGAUGGUGGGGUAAUGGCUCACCUGGGCGACGAUACCUAGCUGGUCUGAGAGGAGUACCAGCCACACUGGAACGGGGACACGGUCCAGACUCCUACGGGAGGCAGCAGUGGGGAAUAUUGGACAGUGGGCGCAAGCCUGAUGCAGCCAUGCCGCGUGUGUGAAGAAGGCCGUCGGGUUGUAAAGCACUUUCAGCGAGGAGGCGUUACUCGCAGAAGAAGCACCGGCUAACUCCGUGCCAGCAGCCGCGGUAAUUC
rnacentral:rRNA from 1 species